AAUGAACGUUGGCGGCAUGGAUUAGGCAUGCAAGUCGCGCGAUAAGAUUCCUUCGGGAAUCCGAAAGCGGCGAAAGGGAGAGUAACGCGUAGAUGAUCUACCCCGAGGACUGGGAUAGCGGCGGGAAACUGCCGGUAAUACCAGAUGAUGUCUCCGGACCAAAGGUGUGAUUCCGCCUUGGGAUGAAUCUGCGUCCUAUUAGCUAGUUGGUGAGGUAACGGCUCACCAAGGCGAAGAUGGGUACCGGGUGUGAGAGCAUGACCCGGCUCACUGGGACUGAGACACUGCCCAGACACCUACGGGUGGCUGCAGUCGAGAAUCUUCGGCAAUGGGCGAAAGCCUGACCGAGCAAUGCCGCGUGCGGGAUGAAGGCCUCGG
rnacentral:rRNA from 1 species